GUGAGCGCUCGUGAUAAACAGCCCGGAGCCGAGCCGCCGCGCAGCCGGGCGGGAGGCUGCGUAUCAGAGCUCCUGGCAGGCUCGCAAAAAGCUGUCCCCGGCCCGCCGCCGCUCUAUCAGCCCACGGAGGGAGGGCGGCGGGGGAGGGAGGGAAAAAGUAUUUGCUUCAGCCCUUAAUCACGGAAUUUGAAAUCCCAGCGAGUCGGUGCCAUUUAUUUUCAGAGGCUGUCAAGGCUGGUUUCAGCAUUUAAAAGAAAGGAGGAUAAAACGCAUUUGCAUUUCUCCCCCACUCUCGCUGCGCGCUCGCCGGCGCUCCCCCUCGUUCCCUGCGCAGCUCGCGGGUCGGGCGUUGGCGGGGAGGGGGAGGCCAGAGGCUUUUCAAGGCGCUGGGGGCUCCGGCCGGCCCGGUGGGGGCCUCCCCCCGCCAGAGUCAGGGGUGUCGGGCGAUUCCGGGGUGGGGGCCCGAGUCUGGUCCAGCGGGGCUCUGGGUGGCAGAGGGGGGAAGGUUAAGCGGGGCUGCUGGCUUGGGGAAUUUGGGGCCGUCCGCGGGGCUCUCCUCGGGCUCCAAGCUUUCACCCCAGAAAACAGCCCUGAACCCCAAAUUUGCUCCAGCCCCAGGGGGCCCUACCUGCCCUUCCUGGCUUCCCCAGUGGAAAUCUAAGGUACUGGAGGCUUCCAGGGGAGCCAGGGCACCCCUAGGACAACCCCCUCUCUCUGCAGAUGGGGAAACUGAGGCCUGGAAACAGAGAACGGUGGGACCAAGGUCACAUGAUGGCGGAAGGAGGACAAGGAAGGAGGCUGACUGCGUAUCCAGCACGUGUUCCGUGCCAAGCCUGUGCAGGGGCCAAGGACCGGGGUCUCUGGACAGCGCCGGUUGCUGGGUCCCACGCUGGGCGACAGGGCCUUUGCAAUCAGGCCGACAGGGUUUGAACCCUUGCCGCGGCACUUUCCAGAUGGCCUUGGCCACUGUCCCCUCUCUGACCUUCAGAUGGAGCCCAUGGCACCUCCGGAGGGGGUGUGUGCUUCCAGGACCAAAUCCACUUGUGCGUGGUUAGGCACGAGGUGGGGGGAGGCGGCUCAGCCACCGGGACCUGUCCUGCCUCCACCCUCUGUGCAACCCCUUUCCUUGCCUUUUGUCUCUGUUGCUUUUGGGGGGUGAUUAGCCGCUAGCUCAGCGGCUAGAGGAUUCUCUCCCGGAAAAGGCUCCGGAGUUGAGGCCCAGACCCCCAGGGCAAGACGGAAUCUGCUCCCCAGGGCACUAACUGAGACUCGGUUCCCUCACUGGUAAAAUGAGAAAACUCACUUAUGGUCAGGGGUCCCCGAGUUAAUGCCAGUGAAUUCCUUGGCAGAGCAUCAAGCACUUGGAGAAGCCCCCACCCCCGGUCAUUGUGAUGAUGGUUUGUUUGUUUGUUUGUUUGUUUUGAGACGGAGUCUCGCUCUGUCGCCCAGGCUGGAGUGCAGUGGCGCGAUCUCGGCUCACUGCAAGCUCUGCCUCCCGGGUUCACGCCAUUCAGGGGAGUGGCGCCGAGACACCGUGUAGCGCCCAUGCCAAGGAGGAAGCGAGACAGCAGGAGCGGAGGAAAGAACCCCGGGCUGUGUUGAGGAAGCCUCCUACUUUUGCCUGAAGUGAGGUUGUUGUUGUUGUUGUUGUUGUUUUUUCCACGUGCCUUAUUCAUCCACGUAACCUCAGCCUCUAGUGCAGCGUCCUAUUUUUUGGCUUGUAUUAUUAUUUUUAAUUGGCACAUAAUAAUUGUACAUAUUUAUGGGAUGCAGUGUAAUAUUUUAGUACACAUAUACAAUGUGUAUUGGUCAAAUCAGGGUAAUUAGCACAUUCAGGGUUGGAGUUUUUCUGUCAAUACAGAUACUUAUAGAAACUUUUUUUUGUGUGAGAUAGGGUCUUGCUCUCUUGCCCAGGCUGGAGUGCAGUUGCAUGAUCACAGCUCAAGCCAUCCUCCCACCUCAGCCUCCCGAGCAGCUGGGACUACAGGCACAGGCCACCAAACCCGGCGAAUUUUUUAUUUCUUCUAGAUAUAGAGUCUCACUAUGUUGCCCAGGCUGGUGUCAAACUCCUGGGUGCAAGUGGUUCUACCACCUUGGCCUCCCAAAGUGCUGGGAUUACAGGUGGAAGCCACCACGCUUCCCUAAAAAUGCCAGUCAAUAUUAUAUGUCCUGUUUGGCAAUUUAUUGCACCUCAUUAUUUUUCCUGGCUGCGUAGUAUUCCAUUGUGCACAUGUACCUGUAUGUGGUUAUCCAAUCCCCAGAGGAUGGGCACAUAGGUUGUGUCUCGUUUUGUCCUCUGACCUCAGGGCUGCAGAGAACAGGCUGGCCUCAUACAGCAGGCAUCAUUAUUGGUGUCAGUGGGGCCCCUGUUCUGAUAGUCACAGAGAGGCACGGGUGGCUGUGGGAAGCUCUAUCCCCUUUCAUAGGGAAAGGCAGUUUAGGGCUCUGGAAAGCCAGGGCUGGGAGGGAAAUGGCGUCAGGGAAACCAGCAUAGAAGUCCCUAUCUGGCCAUCUUGGCGGAACCCAAAGCCUCGAGUCCACAGUGGGCACCUGACUCAGCAGGGAGGAGGGUGGGAGGCCUAGAGCUUUGUGGCAAGGCAGGCAGGGCUUUCCUUCUUGAUUCCUUCCUUCCUUCCUUCCUUCCUUCCUUCCUUCCUUCCUUCCUUCCUCCCUCCCUCCCUCCCUCCCUUUUCUUUUCUUUUCCUUUUCUUUCUUUCUUCUUUCUUUCUUUUCUUUCUUUCUUUCCUUCUUUCUUUCUUUCUUUCUUUCUUUCUCUCUUUUUCUUUCUCUCUCUCUCUCUUUCUUUCUUUUUUUUCUUUUUUUUUUUUGAGACAGAGUCUUGCUUUGUUAACCCAGGCUGAUGUGUAGUGGUGUGAUCUCGGCUCACUGCACCCUUCACCUCCCAGGUUCAAGCGAUUAUCCGGCCUCAGCCUCCCAAGUAGCUGGGACUACAGGUGUGCACCAGCACAGCCAGAUAAUUUUUGUAUUUUUAGGAGAGAUGGGAUUUCGCCAUGUUGGCCAGGCUGGCCUCAAACUCCUGGCCUCAAGUGAUCCACCCACCUCGGCUCCCAAAGUGCUGGGAUGACAGGUGUGAGCCUCCGCGCGUGGCCUCCUUCUUGAUUCUGUUGUUUGUGCCUCAAAGGGAAUAUUCAGAGUGUGGCUCAUGAAGUCUGGCCAACCUCCAUCGGUUUGCAAGCUCUGGCACCUCGGAGCCUCCGUUUCCCAAUCUAUAAUAAGAGGACAGUAAUGGCACCCACCUCACAGGGCAGCUGUGAGGGCUCCAUGAGGGAGUCCAGGCAAAGCCUUUCAGCGAGUUUCCUGAAAUGCUGUGAGGUCUCAGGGAAGGCUUGCCAUCGUCAUUAUUGUUUCUAACGACAUUUUCAGAAAUCUGAAUGUAAAAAGACCUUCUCUGAGUUGGGUGUCAAAACCAGAAAAAGUCUGUGGUGGGAUGUGUGUGUGUGUGUUUCCUUCUCACACUGUCCCUUGCACGUGGGCCCGGGCCCCUGCCUGGUUCUCUCUUUCUCACUAUCUGGGACCCCCUAGACUAAAUCCAUCUCUCCAAGAAUCACUGUCUUGCCCCCUCUGUCCUUCUGAGACCUGGGUGGCCUGGGGGGAGAAGCGCCCACCCCCCAACCCCGUCCGCACCACCACUUUCCCAUCCAGCCCCACCCUCAGCCUCCUUAAUACAGGCUCACCUGGGGCCUCAGUGCCCAGUCCUCCCAGCGCCCGCCCCAGCUGCACUUGAGUCCUGGAUCUAUCAUCAGCCCUUGCUGUGGGAAGUGGCUUUAACCUCCCUGGGCCUCAGUUUCUCUAUCUGUAAAAUGAGGAGCAUA
rnacentral:lncRNA from 1 species